rnacentral:misc_RNA from 1 species
CUCAGAUUAAUAAACAAAAGGCAGAUGGAGCGCACCGAACAUGCGAGUGAAGCCACCAAAGCGAAUACAAAAUCAAAAGCGAAUACAAAGUCGCAGCAGUGCUAAAGAUAGCGUCGUAUUGUUUAAACGUCUCGAGUGAUUCAUUAUUUUGUGUCAAAAAAUGCCGUCUUGUGUUAUUAAACAUUGUGAAAGUUGUUCCCAAAAAUAAAAAAAGAGGAUGGAAUUUCAUUUUACAGAUUGCCGACAGAUGUUGUUCUACGCGAGGAAUGGGUUUCUAUUAUUCGCCAAAGCAGGCAAGACAAUAAUUGGCAGGCUUCAAAAUUUUGCGUUGUGUGUUCAUUACAUUUUAAAGAGGAUGGCUUAUGCUUUACCGAAAAAUGUCGUAGGUUGAUAAAAAAAAUUCCAAUGUAAUUAUUUGUAAUACUAUCUAAUCUUUUGGUCUAGUCUUUAAGUUGUCUGUAUAUCGAUGUAUGUGUGUGUGUGAAUAAAUGAUGAUGAUGAUGAUUAUUAUUAUUAUUAAUAAAUAUUUUAAAUUAUGUAUGUUUUUUUUU